rnacentral:rRNA from 2 species
GACGAACGCUGGCGGCGUGCCUAAUACAUGCAAGUCGAGCGGACAGAUGGGAGCUUGCUCCCUGAUGUUAGCGGCGGACGGGUGAGUAACACGUGGGUAACCUGCCUGUAAGACUGGGAUAACUCCGGGAAACCGGGGCUAAUACCGGAUGCUUGAUUGAACCGCAUGGUUCAAUUAUAAAAGGUGGCUUUUAGCUACCACUUACAGAUGGACCCGCGGCGCAUUAGCUAGUUGGUGAGGUAACGGCUCACCAAGGCAACGAUGCGUAGCCGACCUGAGAGGGUGAUCGGCCACACUGGGACUGAGACACGGCCCAGACUCCUACGGGAGGCAGCAGUAGGGAAUCUUCCGCAAUGGACGAAAGUCUGACGGAGCAACGCCGCGUGAGUGAUGAAGGUUUUCGGAUCGUAAAACUCUGUUGUUAGGGAAGAACAAGUACCGUUCGAAUAGGGCGGUACCUUGACGGUACCUAACCAGAAAGCCACGGCUAACUACGUGC